UGGGUUUGACAUGCACCAGACGCAUCCAGAGAUGGGUGUUCCCUUGUGGUUGGUGUGCAGGUGGUGCAUGGCUGUCGUCAGCUCGUGUCGUGAGAUGUUGGGUUAAGUCCCGCAACGAGCGCAACCCUCGUUCCAUGUUGCCAGCACGCAGCUUGCUGUGGUGGGGACUCAUGGGAGACUGCCGGGGUCAACUCGGAGGAAGGUGGGGAUGACGUCAAGUCAUCAUGCCCCUUAUGUCCAGGGCUUCACACAUGCUACAAUGGCCUGUACAGAGGGCUGCGAGACCGUGAGGUGGAGCGAAUCCCUUAAAGUGGGUCUCAGUUCGGAUCGGGGUCUGCAACUCGACCCCGUGAAGUUGGAGUCGCUAGUAAUCGCAGAUCAGCAACGCUGCGGUGAAUACGUUCCCGGGCC
rnacentral:rRNA from 1 species